rnacentral:rRNA from 1 species
UGUUCGGAUCGCGUCGACGACGGCGGUUCGCUGCCGGCGACGUCGUGAGAAGUUCCCUGAACCUUAUCAUUUAGAGGAAGGAGAAGUCGUAACAAGGUUACCGUAGGUGAACCUGCGGUAGGAUCAUUG